AAUGAACGUUGGCGGCGUGGAUUAGGCAUGCAAGUCGAGCGCGAUAUGUAGCAAUACAUGGAGAGCGGCGAAAAGGGAGAGUAAUACGUAGGUAUCUACCCUCGGGUCUGGGAUAGCAGCGGGAAACUGCUGGUAAUACCAGAUAACGUCUCCGGACCAAAGGUGUGAUUCCACCUGAGGAGGAGCCUACGGCCUAUUAGCUAGUUGGUAGGGUAACGGCCUACCAAGGCAAAGAUGGAUAUGGGGUGUGAGAGCAUGCCCCACUCACUGGACGUGAGACACUG
rnacentral:rRNA from 1 species